UACUUAUAAGUAAAAGGAAGUCCCAAUAAAGCUUCCAAGUUUGGCCACAUUUUUGGCCUCUUUGGGUGCCACGUCUUAGGUGUCUCUAGUUAAUGCGUGGAAAUUUGGUUGGCGUUUUUCUUUUGCAUUUGGAGAGAUAAGAAAAACGUAAGACCUUGUCUUGAGAAAGAAAAAGCUUCCAACCUUGGUAGAGUCUUUGGGCCAAACGUUGGGUUUCACGUGGACAAAUUUGGUAGGCAUGUUUCUUUUACAUUUGGAAAGAAAAGAAUGUAGGACACUAUAUUGGGAAAGAAAAAAAUGAAACUCUAUCUUGAUUUUCUAAUUUUUUGCCCACGUGUGUCUAAUUGUUUUAAACCACAUGGGUAUUUUCAAAAGAGUUUUUUCUGAAAGCUAUGGUGUCACGACCCGGUACUCUCCUCGAACUCGUGACAACCGUCGCGAUGUCUUAGUAGACAUUCAUUAUCCGGAAUGCUAACCGAAACCUCAUAAAGCUUUAAUAUCAGUUUUCUCACCUCCCCUGCAAGCAACAGUUGCUAAUAUCAUAUUUUAAAAGAUUAUAAGCUAUUUCCAAACCAAAACAAUAAAAAAAUAAUUUUCGUC
rnacentral:lncRNA from 1 species